rnacentral:misc_RNA from 1 species
AAGUCGUAACAAGGUUUCCGUAGGUGAACCUGCGGAAGGAUCAUUAACACGUAUCCAAACGUUAAACCCCCCUGUGAACCUUCACCUGUACUCGUACGUCCGUUAGAAAAAGCAGCAAUCCCUGGUAAAUCAUCGCCGAACAGUUUUCGAUUCAGGGACGUCUGCAAGGAGCGUGCAUGUUGUGCGAAGCAAGUGGCCUGGCAUCCCCAAGCAGUUAGUGUCUGAAAGUGUCAAUACCUGUGUAAGGAUGACGCAGUCACGAUCGUUUGGAGGUCCACACGGCCGACGACCGGGUCGCUGGGCGCAAGCCCCCCUAAUACGCAGUCGACCAAAAACCGAACAACUGUUAACAAUGGAUAUCUUGGUUCUC